GAUGAACGCUGGCGGCGUGCCUAAUACAUGCAAGUCGAGCGAACGGACGAGAAGCUUGCUUCUCUGAUGUUAGCGGCGGACGGGUGAGUAACACGUGGAUAACCUACUUAUAAGACUGGGAUAACUUCGGGAAACCGGAGCUAAUACCGGAUAAUAUUUUGAACCGCAUGGUUCAAAAGUGAAAGACGGUCUUGCUGUCACUUAUAGAUGGAUCCGCGCUGCAUUAGCUAGUUGGUAAGGUAACGGCUUACCAAGGCAACGAUGCAUAGCCGACCUGAGAGGGGGAUCGGCCACACGGGAACUGAGACACGGUCCAGACUCCUACGGGAGGCAGCAGUAGGGAAUGUUCCGCAAUGGGCGAAAGCCUGACGGAGCAACGCCGCGUGAGUGAUGAAGGUCUUCGGAUCGUAAAGCUCUGUUAUUAGGGAAGAACAUAUGUGUAAGUAGCUGUGCACAUCUUGACGGUACCUAAACAGAAAGCCACGGCUAACUACGUG
rnacentral:rRNA from 1 species